rnacentral:lncRNA from 1 species
CUGGUUCUGGUUUAGGUCCAGGUCCAGGUUCUGGUUCAGGUCUGGGUUUAGGUUUGGGUUUGGGUUCAGGUUCUGGUUCUGGUUCUGGACUCCCCAUAAUGGAGCUGCACCACCUGCAACACAACGGGGUCAAGGCUCUGGGUCUGGUUCUGGUUCGGGUUCUGGUUUGGGUUCUGGUUUAGGUUCUGGUUCAGGUUCUGGUUCUGGUUUAGGUUCUGGUUUAGGUUCUGGUUCUGGUUUAGGUUCUGGUUCUGGUUCUGGUUUAGGUUCUGGUUUAUGUUCUGGUUCUGGUUUAGGUUCUGAUUCUGGUUUAGGUCCAGGUCCAGGCUCUGGUUCAGGUCUGGGUUUAGGUUUGGGUUCAGGUUCUGGUUCUGGUUCUGGACUCCCCAUAACGGAGCUGCACCACCUGCAACACAACGGGGUCAAGGCUCUGGGUCUGGUUCUGGUUCGGGUUCUGGUUU